GGUUAAGCGACUAAGCGUACACGGUGGAUGCCCUGGCAGUCAGAGGCGAUGAAGGACGUGCUAAUCUGCGAAAAGCGCCGGCGAGGUGAUAUGAACCUUUGACCCGGCGAUGUCCGAAUGGGGAAACCCAGUGUGUUCCGACACACUAUCGUUAACUGAAUACAUAGGUUAACGAGGCGAACCGGGGGAACUGAAACAUCUAAGUACCCCGAGGAAAAGAAAUCAACCGAGAUUCCCCCAGUAGCGGCGAGCGAACGGGGAGCAGCCCAGAGUCUGAAUCAGCUUGUGUGUUAGUGGAAGCGUCUGGAAAGUCGCACGGUACAGGGUGACAGUCCCGUACACGAAAAUGCACAGGUUGUGAACUCGAAGAGUAGGGCGGGACACGUGGUAUCCUGUCUGAAUAUGGGGGGACCAUCCUCCAAGGCUAAAUACUCCUGACUGACCGAUAGUGAACCAGUACCGUGAGGGAAAGGCGAAAAGAACCCCGGCGAGGGGAGUGAAAAAGAACCUGAAACCGUGUACGUACAAGCAGUGGGAGCACCUUCGUGGUGUGACUGCGUACCUUUUGUAUAAUGGGUCAGCGACUUAUAUUCUGUAGCAAGGUUAACCGUAUAGGGGAGCCGAAGGGAAACCGAGUCUUAACUGGGCGUUAAGUUGCAGGGUAUAGACCCGAAACCCGGUGAUCUAGCCAUGGGCAGGUUGAAGGUUGGGUAACACUAACUGGAGGACCGAACCGACUAAUGUUGAAAAAUUAGCGGAUGACUUGUGGCUGGGGGUGAAAGGCCAAUCAAACCGGGAGAUAGCUGGUUCUCCCCGAAAGCUAUUUAGGUAGCGCCUCGUGAACUCAUCUUCGGGGGUAGAGCACUGUUUCGGCUAGGGGGCCAUCCCGGCUUACCAACCCGAUGCAAACUACGAAUACCGAAGAAUGUUAUCACGGGAGACACACGGCGGGUGCUAACGUCCGUCGUGAAGAGGGAAACAACCCAGACCGCCAGCUAAGGUCCCAAAGUCAUGGUUAAGUGGGAAACGAUGUGGGAAGGCACAGACAGCCAGGAUGUUGGCUUAGAAGCAGCCAUCAUUUAAAGAAAGCGUAAUAGCUCACUGGUCGAGUCGGCCUGCGCGGAAGAUGUAACGGGGCUAAACCAUGCACCGAAGCUGCGGCAGCGAC
rnacentral:rRNA from 1 species